UUGCGGCUACCAAGAUGGUAGCACCCAGCGGUGCCAUGAGCGACUCGGAGAGCAGCAGCAGUGACAGCAGCGAUGCCGAGGAGUUGGCGCGGUGCCGCGAGGCGGCAACGCCCGCCUGGGGGCUGGAGCAGCGCCCGCGGGAAGCGGAGAGACCCGCAGCCGGUACUGCAGAUACACAGGCGCCAGCCCCCCAGCCAAGCCGCAGGCGUGAGGUGAACCAGCAUGAUGAAGAUGGCAACGAACUUCAGACCACUCCUGAGUUCCGAGCCUACGUGGCCAAGAAACUGGGAGCACUGCUGGACAGCUCCAUUGCUAUCGCAGAAGUAUGGAAGAAGACCCAGCAGGCCAGGUUGCAGCAGGAGGCCAAGGAGCAGCAGGAGGCCAAGGAGCAGCAGGCGGCCAAGGAGGAGCAGGCAGCCAAGAAGGAGGAAGACGGUAAGUCCUCAGAGUGCAGAUCAGUGCUGCCGUGGGGAGGUGCUGCUGUGCA
rnacentral:lncRNA from 1 species